rnacentral:lncRNA from 1 species
UGUACCACCACAGAAAAUGUUAUGAAAGGAAACAGCGCUGCACACAUGCGCAGACACAAAAAGAUGUACGCACAAACACAUGCAAAUCUGUUAGGAUUAGUAGUUGAUCUAGUCGACCAAUUUUUCAAAGUGCAAUAAUGAUGGUAAGCUGACACUUGUUGCACUUUUCCUGUGGAUUACAAACAUUCCGUGAAUCUCUUGAGCAAGCAUUCAUAACUUUUUGAGUUCAUUGAUCAAUCUAUUGCAGGCACACGUGCAAAACUUAUAGAAAUGUAAGGCCAAGUGGCUGGCAGUAAAUACCUUGAGCGAAAAUAUGCACUUUAUCAGGCAUUUGCUACAUUAAAUACAGUUAGUUGCUAGUUGGUGCCCAUAUCUAUCUCUCUUGAACCCACUCCUUGCCUUUAUCUAGGCCCUAGGAAGCUUCGAGCUGACAGAGAACUGUUUGCAUUUGUGCCCAUCAGAAAAGUGUAUACAGUCUUGUUCUUCCUGCUAUAUCUAACAUCACCAAAGAAUUGGAAUGUCAAUUUUUGUUGUAAUUUGGUAGUUCCUGCCAUUAUUUGUUUUUUUCCACUGGUGUAUGUUUUCAUUCAUUGCGUAAAUCAUUAAGGCAUGGCAGCUACAAGAAAGUGAUGUGUUGGUUGUGUCUGAUUAGCUUGAAAAAAAAUCUACAAACUGUGGCCAGUUACUUUUCUGUAAUGAGCGGCCACAGCAUCAGUUGUGUUGUAAUGUGCGCUGCCUCUUGUGCCACCAUGCAUCGCUGGUGGCACAAGACUUUUUUGAACUUUUUUUAAGCUAGUCGUAAGGAGGCCACAGAUGUGUGGAAGGGCUUCCAAGAAGCUGUCUAGAAUGGGGAAUUAAUGAAACCUAGUACAGUUGCCAUCCUAUUGUAUUGUACACGGCUAUCUGGGAAAGGACAUGCCUGCAUGGGGUUACUUACUGCAAACGUUCACUGUGAAAAAAUUUCUGUAUGUAUUUGUCUACAUGGGUGUGUGUGUGUACAGAGCAGGCCAAUGUGAUAGGGAACACAUCAUAUGUACUUGGGAAAAGAUUAGUGCAGAAAUUAUUCACUAAUACUAUAGUAUUCGCCAUGUCGCUCUCCUAUCAAAGACCCCACGCUUCUGUACUUCCAUUCACCACCAAAGCAAGUAAAAAAUUCUUAGUCUUGAGUACGGAUCAAAUGUUUCCUUUCCUAUUGGAUCUGAUUGUACACGCACAUUCACACACCCCUGAAUAAAUAUCAUAUCUUAUUUUUCUAUUUCUGACCUCACUGCAUUACUGUCGGCACUCAUUGCCAUUAAAGCCCCUCCAACCUUUGAUGCAUGCCGGCGUUU